rnacentral:rRNA from 1 species
GACGAACGCUGGCGGCGUGCUUAAAACAUGCAAGUCGAACGGACUUCUCAUGAAGCUUGCGAUUGAGAAGUUAGUGGCGGACGGGUGAGUAACGCGUGGGCAACCUGCCCCUGAGCCCGGGAUAACAGUUCGAAAGGACUGCUAAGACCGGAUAUACUUGCGGUGAAGCAUUUCACUGCAAGGAAAGGGAACGCUCAGGGAUGGGCCCGCGUCCCAUUAGCUAGUUGGUGAGGUAACGGCCCACCAAGGCGACGAUGGGUAGCCGGCCUGAGAGGGUGAACGGCCACACUGGGACUGAGACACGGCCCAGACUCCUACGGGAGGCAGCAGUGGGGAAUAUUGCACAAUGGGCGAAAGCCUGAUGCAGCGACGCCGCGUGAGGGAUGACGGCCUCGGUUGUAACGUACUUCUAGCAGGAAGAAGACGAAAGUAGACGGUACCGUGCAGAAGAAGACACCGGCUAACUACGUGCCAGCAGCCGCGGUAACGACGAGAGUA